rnacentral:rRNA from 1 species
CUACGGGGCGCACCAGUGGGGAAUAUUGGACAAUGGGCGCAAGCCUGAUCCAGCAAUGCCGCGUGAGUGAAGACGGCCUUAGGGUUGUAAAACUCUUUCGCUAGGGAAGAUAAUGACUGUACCUAGUAAAGAAGUCCCGGCUAACUCCGUGCCAGCAGCCGCGGUAAUACGGAGGGGACUAGCGUUGUUCGGAAUUACUGGGCGUAAAGAGUUCGUAGGCGGACCGACAAGUUAGAGGUGAAAUCCCAGGGCUCAACCCUGGAACUGCCUUUAAAACUGUCAGUCUAGAGACCGGAAGAGGUUAGGGGAAUACCUAGUGUAGAGGUGAAAUUCGUAGAUAUUAGGUGGAACACCAGUGGCGAAGGCGCCUAACUGGUCCGGUACUGACGCUGAGGAACGAAAGCGUGGGGGGCAAACAGGAUUAGAUACCCCCGUAGUC